rnacentral:rRNA from 1 species
AGAAGUAAAAGUCGUAACAAGGUUUCCGUAGGUGAACCUGCGGAAGGAUCAUUAUCGAAGCCCCUACGGGGCGCCUCACCGCGGUUCCUCGCUGUGCGCCUUUGGGCUGCACGCGCGGUCCCGUCACGUGAUUCUCACACCUGUGCACUCUGCGGGUGUCCCCUCUCCGGGGGACGUCCGUCUACACACACCACACAUGUCUAUGGAUGUCUUACUUUUGUAACCGAUACAACUUUCAACAACGGAUCUCUUGGCUCUCGCAUCGAUGAAGAACGCAGCGAAAUGCGAUAAGUAAUGUGAAUUGCAGAAUUCAGUGAAUCAUCGAAUCUUUGAACGCACCUUGCGCUCCCUGGUAUUCCGGGGAGCAUGCCUGUUCGAGUGUCACGUUAACACCUCACCCGCGGACUUCACCGUCCGCGGCGUGGACCUGGAUGCUGCCGUCGCCGGCUCGUCCUGAAAUGCAUUAGCCUCGCGUCUGCCUCUGACGACCUGACGGUGUGAUAGACAUCUGCAUCGUCGACGUCUCUGGUGGUGGGGCUCACAGUCGUCCCUCGGGACAUUNUAAGCAUGGCCUC